GUUUUGAAUUACAAGAAGUGUGAGUUAUCUUUGUGACGACAUAAGUUCGCUUCACAUUUCAACCUGUGCCUACAAGGGCAGAAUUCUUUAGUCGCUUCUUCGUACUCUCAUCUUUCGUUUAGCUUUUAAGUGUUCUAUAAUCAUGACCACGCGGUAUUUUGUCCAUUUUUUCAGAUGUGACAUAUGACGAAAUGACGCUAUAUGGGAAGGCCUGGCGGGGCUAACAUGGGAGCAGAUGUAUAAAGGCUACGGCCUCUGCUUGGACCACUUCAGAGGAAGGGACUACGCCGACCCUAUCGGACUGUUGGAGUGGAAGAGCGGUCUCUGAUGGAUGAAGGUUCUACACUGUCACACCGAGGCAAAACGCCGAAAAUGCACUCACGAGGUUCUGCAAACGUCAUCAAAUGACUGAAAGAUGAUACACAAAGGCAACGCAAGUCAGCAAAGUUAAAGAGCUACCGAAAGAUUACCACGAGGGAAACACUAGAGAAGUUGAUGUAUCAUGUGAGCCAAGAGUUCUACCAACCUUGCAAUGCGAGGUGGCGCUUCAUUAUCGCAAUAGGAAGGGAAGGGCAUGGAUAAAUGUUUUCCGGAGCAUGUUGAUGUGAUCGCGCAGUUGUGCGGUGUGUCCACUGUACUGAAAAAUACGCUGCACAUCAGUGUACUAUCAGAAAUAGUUUGCUCCAGAAAGUGUCCCAUAGACCUGCUGCAAAAGUUCUGCUAUACGUUGCUUAUGCUGCACAUAAAUGACAUCAAAUUGGAAUUCAAAAAAAGAAACAGCGCAAGAGAAAACGUGCUGAAAAAAGAAAUUAAGCUCCAAAAGCUUGAAUAUUAAGAAAAAUUUUCUUACCGAUCCUUUAUUCUUUCUUUAAAUCCGAUAGGUCUUAGGGAGGUCUCCUGAUUUGCCUAUCUUUAGAAAAUAUUUCGACCUAUUUCGAUAUUUGCAUAAACAUCGUGCAACGUAUUCUUUCUUCAAACAGUCAUGGCUUCUACAUUUGAACCCUCCUCUUCGAAGAUUAUUACAUGCUACCGUGUACAUGAAUAUUGGGAUGCUAGAAUCUUCCUGAGCUUACUUCAGUAAAGUAGUGCAAGUACUAAUGUUGCUCAACACAAUGCUCAAUGAUUUCAUUAAUAUAGCAAAAGUCGGAGGGGGGUGGUCUCCUUUCGGCAAAGUCACGAAUAAUCUAAAUAAGCAAAGAAAGCAUGCUGUGCCAGAAACGAGUGUCUAGAAAGGUUGAAAUGCUUUCGCCUUCUUAUUGUCGACGCCGAAAUUCUCAUGACGAAUGACCUCCAGCCAAUGAUGAAACUCGUAACGUAGCUCUAAUGCAUCUCCUUUGUUUCAAACAACUCGCAAGAAACUGAGCAUAUAAGCAUUGUUAAAGAAAGUGCAUAAUGUACCUUCAGCGUAUUAGAGGAAGGCCUUGAAAACCAUUUAAAAGGGAAUUGCUCUGAGCCGGUUUCCCUGAUGCAUUGAAUGCAGUCGAUUUGCAUUCCUUUUAGAAAACAUUUCUCCAUGUCCCGAAGCUGCGCGUUCAAUAAUACAUUUGUGCAUUACUGUGCCCUUGCCCAACCUAUCAACUGCAGAUUGACAAAUGCUCCUCCGGCAUUUACUGUUUCUGAACAGAAAAACUUAGCGCUAUUUGUUGUUAUUGUCUUGGAACUGUGCCAUUUAUGCCUAGAUAACGAUAGAACAAACGAAGUGCAUAACAAAUUUUAAGAAACAUCUGCAAUAUGCUCGCGAAGAAUUUUGUAUUGCUACCUUGUUCGCAAUGUUACAGAUCUGAAUGAAGCUCCAGUGGUCUUUUAUGUUGUAUUGUGAAACAAAACCAUUUAUGAAAAAACACUACGGGCAUUUUCAAUAUAAUUUGCUGGAUAUUUAUCGGCACAGUAGCACAAGGAGAGCUAUGCAGAAAAUUGUCUACGUAUAGCACGUUGUUUGGACUAGCAAGUAUACCCGAUGCAUGGAAUAAAAAAGGAAGAUUUCGUUACUGGUAUGCAUAAAAUGUGGAUUUUCUGCUCUUGAUAAUCUUUUUCUUAGUCACAAAUAACUGUUGCGACAAGAAUUGCUUUGGUAGAGUUGUGUUGUGCACAUCAAACAAACGUGGCCUCUGUGGCAAUUUUCUGUCUUUGAGAAAUUGUAGGAAGCUGCCUUAUGUAUGUAUGAUCGUAGUACCGAAUGCGCCCGUUUGUAUUGACUAAUGAGAUACUCAGCUCUACAUAUAUGUAUUGUUUAUUGCUUUGCUGUGCGAUAGGUUGCUAAUAAAAACAGCGAAUAAGCAACGUUUUUCUACCUGCUUAUGUUUUGCCGAAACAAAAUAGCAUGUGGCAUGGCAUGCUGGCUCGCGCAUCUUGAGCAGAAGAAGAUACGCUUUCACACAGUUGUGUUGCACAUAUGUUGUGAGUAAGAAAAGAAAAUUAGAAGCUGAAGGGUGCUCAAAAAAAAAUCUGAAAGAGGAAAACAAUCCGAAAAAAAUUAACGCAAGCGGUGUUGGUUUCCUUUGGCGCCUGCAGAGAAAGUCCUGUGAUCGUCGAGCGCAUAGCAGACGACAAGCGACAGGCGUUUCCUCCUCGCACAUCAGCAAAAUCGUUGCCAUGGAAGCAGACUUCAUUUUUUUUUCCUUUCAGAGUUUGGCCUACCAAGCACCAGGGGACAAAUUGGCGCCCGUGACGCAAUUCCCGUUUACUUGGGGGGUAUACAAGCUGGCCUAGCCGUGGUGUUUGUGGUACCUCCAUUAGGCUGUUUCAAUCGGAGUCAAAUUUUUUUUAUAAGUUGUUGCCCCGCUAGGCUCAUGAGUGGUCUUGUUGCUGCGUUCUGUGCAUGUCCUAUUUGUCUAUGUGUACACUGUUACGUGUUGCAGUGAAUAAAUCAGUUCUAAGUUAC